AUGCCUUGGGGGUCGACUCAUGGGUCGACUCACAGGGUGUGCCAAGUCUGUGCCGGCCAGGAAUUUCAGCGUGCCAGUCAUCUCAUGUGCCAUGAGUCGACUCAUGGGUCGACUCAUGAUUUUCAAACAUGCAUAUCUUUCAAAAUACAAGUCCAAAAAUAAUAAAAUUUUUACCAAUGGAUCACAAAUCUUUUGUUCUAUC
rnacentral:lncRNA from 1 species